UCAUGGCGGUGUGCUGAAGAAGACCACUGGCCUUGUGGGAUUGGCUGUAUGCAAUACUCCACACGAGAGGCUAAGAAUAUUGUACACAAGGAUUCUUGAUGCUCUUGAGGAAAUCCCUAAAAAUGCAGCAUAUAGAAAGUAUACAGAAGAGAUUAGAAAUGAGAAGCUGGCUAUGGUUAAAGCGGAACCAGAAGUUAAAAAAUUAGAAGACCAACUUCAAGGCAGUCAAUUAGAAGAAUGAUUCUUUAGGCUGAACAUGAACUAAAUCUGGCAAGAAAAAUGAGGGAGUGGAAACCAUGGGAGUCAUCAGUGGAAGAGCCUCCUGCUGAUCAGUGGAAAUGGC
rnacentral:lncRNA from 1 species